GCCUUCGUGGAUCAGGGUCAUCACCUCAUUCGAAUGGGUUCGCCAAAAGCCAUAAUUGAGGAGACGGAGGUUCGAGCCCUCCCGAAGACG